CCCGUCGUUAGGUUGGCAUUUUAUUAUCUCACCUCAGCGCGAGAAGGGAAGAGAAAGAUACAGCCCUCAAUGCAGAAGAAUUUCUGGCUCCUUUAACAUUAAGAGGGACCCUGUCUGGACCACCGAGAGGCUUGACUAAGUCAUGUUUCAGCUCUUAGACAUCUUCAAAAAUAAA